rnacentral:sRNA from 1 species
ACACACCUAAAAACAAGACUCAUCAAAUCAUAGAUCCAACUACAGAUACCUAUGACGUGAAUAUCUAUUGUCUGGAUUCAAGAUCUAGUUAAUUACUCUUGAUCUAACAUUAAGCAUAAUUAAAGAUGAAGAAUUCUAUAGAUAACCUAACAAAGGGGGCAAUCUACUAAACCAUAUGAAUCCCUAAUGAGAAACCAUAUUCCUAACAAGCAGACUACUCAGACAUAUUGAAUGAACCAAACAACAUAAUUGAGAUAGAAAGCAUAAACACAGUAAAUAGAGAAGGGGAAAUAAUGGAUCUCUUCACUGUAUUAAGAUCUGAAUAAAACUCUGAAAAGCAAUCAACGAAUGGCUUAUGUCUCUCAGUAAUAGGGUUUGUAGAAAACUUGAUAAAAGAAACUUAGGUCUAAAAACAAUAUAUAUAGACCCUAAAAACGUCCAGCGACUAAUAAUGCAAAUAGGGAUCUGGGGAAAUUUGAUCUUCUGUAAACUUGAAAGCAUCUAGGGUUUUUGCUGGGCCGAAACUGGUGUCAAUCGACACCAAAAGUGUGUCGGUCGACACUCCUCGCUGAUUCUUGAGUCCAAAAUCGUCCUUAGCUUCCUUUUCCUUAGAUCUUGCUCCAAAAUGACUCCUUAUCUCCAUUGUUGUCCCAGUGCAUAGAAUACCUGAAAAGACACUAAAAAGACUCGAGAAAUAACAGAAAUACUCAAAAUCCUAUAUCUAAAACAUAGAUAAAAUCGGUGAAAAUCGAGUUAUAUCAAGUUCGAACUAAUCAAAGUUCCUCGUGCAGAAAUUUCAGCUGCUGAUGCCUUAGCUGCUUUGGCUUCUACAUCCGAAGUAACUGUCACAAGGAUAAUCCCUGUUGAAACGAUAGCUCAGCCCAAUUUUCGACUUGAGGAAAUAAACUUUGUUACUACUCGGGCAAUGCGUAAGCAACUCGAGGCGCAAGCAAACAAUCUCGAGCUGCAGCAACUCGACGACGAGGAAAAAAUUCCAGAAGCUGCCCGGCCUGCAGCUGACGAAGAUUUAGCUGGUCUCAACAAUCCCGAGGUUCCUGACAAUCAGAUACCUCACGACUUAGGGGCAGACUGGAGAGAACCAAUUCGGAACUAUAUCCUCAACGGAGUACUUCCCGCCGAUAAAUGGGAGGCUCGAAAGUUGAAGGCCACUUGUGCGCGUUUUUGCGUAGCGGAUGGCAUUCUGUACAGAAGAGUUAUUUCGGCUCCGGAUGCUAUUUGUAUCUUUGGAGAAUAGACCCGGACAGUUAUAAAAGGAAUCCACGAUAGAACUUGUGGGAAUCAUUCCGGAGGUCGUUCUUUGGCUUUUAAAGUCAAAAAGUACGGUUAUUUCUGGCCCUA